ACAGAUGAGUGGUAUAUACCAUGAUCACAAAGGUGGUUUUCCCACCUUUCCCCAGGGUGAGGCUCAUCCAUUGCACUGCGGGUGUGCUGACCCCUGUGAUUUCCCCAAAUGUGGGAAACUCGACUGCAUAGUUUGUGGUAGUGGAGGACUGUGUUCACGCUCUCCCCUG